CAUUGAGCCUUGAUGUGUAGGAUAGGUGGGAGGCUUUGAAGCGUGGACGCCAGUCUGCGUGGAGCCGACCUUGAAAUACCACCCUUUAAUGUUUGAUGUUCUAACGUGGACCCGUGAUCCGGGUUGCGGACAGUGUCUGGUGGGUAGUUUGACUGGGGCGGUCUCCUCCUAAAGAGUAACGGAGGAGCACGAAGGUUGGCUAAUCCUGGUCGGACAUCAGGAGGUUAGUGCAAUGGCAUAAGCCAGCUUGACUGCGAGCGUGACGGCGCGAGCAGGUGCGAAAGCAGGUCAUAGUGAUCCGGUGGUUCUGAAUGGAAGGGCCAUCGCUCAACGGAUAAAAGGUACUCCGGGGAUAACAGGCUGAUACCGCCCAAGAGUUCAUAUCGACGGCGGUGUUUGGCACCUCGAUGUCGGCUCAUCACAUCCUGGGGCUGAAGUAGGUCCCAAGGGUAUGGCUGUUCGCCAUUUAAAGUGGUACGCGAGCUGGGUUUAGAACGUCGUGAGACAGUUCGGUCCCUAUCUGCCGUGGGCGCUGGAGAACUGAGGGGGGCUGCUCCUAGUACGAGAGGACCGGAGUGGACGCAUCACUGGUGUUCGGGUUGUCAUGCCAAUGGCACUGCCCGGUAGCUAAAUGCGGAAGAGAUAAGUGCUGAAAGCAUCUAAGCACGAAACUUGCCCCGA
rnacentral:rRNA from 1 species